GUGUCAACAUAGACAUAACAGGGAAUUGAGUGAGACUCUCAGGCUGUCCCAGCAACCGUAAUAUGGACGAACUGCAACAACCACUGCGCACACCGCGCGGGAAGGUGCAUAGUAGGACGAAGUUAAGCCGGUAGACCUACCUGGACAU
rnacentral:ncRNA from 1 species